rnacentral:rRNA from 1 species
ACCUGAUCCCAUGCCGAACUCAGUAGUGAAACGUAAUAGCGCCGAUGGUAGUGUGGGGUCUCCCCAUGUGAGAGUAGGACAUCGCCAGGC